CGCAGGGUCGCCGGUGCGUGCAGUGGGGAGCCGCGCAGCGCGGUGCGAGUCCCGCGGGUCGCACGCGGCACACAUCCGGGUCCUAAGUGCACGUGGGGCGCGGUUCCGCACUCCGGCUGGCCCCCGGCUUAGAAAGGCGGGACCUCCCCCUACUCCCGGGCUCGUCGCCACUCCUGUGCGGCGACCGUCCCUCCACCUCUAAUCCUGCGCCCACACCCGCCUUCAACCUGGGAGUCGCACUGACCGGGACCUUCCGGGCUCCCCAGAGCCCACAGAAGCGCCGCACAAACUUCGUUGUGUCAAAAGCAGGAAGUUGGCGCUUGCCUGUCACCCGGGUCCCUGGGAGGGUGAGGCGGGAGAACCCUAAACUCCAGGCCACCGGAGCAGCUUAACCGGACCCCGCCUCAAAAUGAAAAGGGCCGGGGUGUGGCGCAUGGUAAAGUGGGUUUAAUCCCUGGGAACCCCCAAAGGGAAGCGAACUGGCAAUUGGCUCUGUCUGGCCGCGUGAGGCAGCAAGGAGCCCCCCCACCAGGUGCCCCGCGGUUCCGAUGCCGGCGGGUUCUUGAGUUGACUGUAGGAGGGUGAUACAUUUCUAAGAUUCGCCAGAAGUUGCGCAAGUUGUCCCAGUCACAGCCUCCGGAAGUAGAUGUCAGUGUACUGUGGCCGGCCCAGGAGCAGACUCGGCUCACCUGUGUUCCUGUGUAAUCUCAAGGGGGAAAGUGGCUUUUUAAAUUUUUUUUUGGUUUCUGGUAUUGAACUCAAGGGCUCUUUACCACUGAGCUACAUCCCCACCCUAUUUUUAUUACUGUUUUUUUAAAAUAGGGUCUCAUCUGAGUUGCUGAGGCUGGCCUCAAACUUGCCAUCCUCCUGCCUCCACCUCCCAGAGGCUGGGAUGGCAGGCCUGUGCCAGCACAUCUGGCUCAAGCGGGAAAGUUCUAUGGAAUUUUAUCCCAUAUGGUAUCUUAUUUAUUUAUUUGCUUAUUUUGUGGUUCUGAGGACGGAGCCCAGGGCUUCCUGGAUGCGAGGUGAGUUCUUUACCACUGGGUUUCACUUCCAGCACUCCUGGCUACUUAAAAUUGUCUAGAGGUGGCUUAUAAUGCCUGACACAUGUUCUGUUUGUAGGUUUGGGGAUUGAACCUAGGGGUGCUUCACCACUGACCCACAUCCUCAGCCCCUUUUUACUUUUUUAUUUAGAAACUUGGUCCCUCUAGGGUGCUCAGGGCCUGCUGGGUUGCUAAGGCUGGCUUUGACUUGAGAGCCUCCUCUGGAGCUGCCGUCAUUAUAGGUCUGUGCCACCACCCCGCCCUAAUACAAUGUACAUGUAAUGCUAGGUAAGUAGUUCUGCUGCUGUAUUGUGUAGGGAAUAACGACAAGAAAAAAGUCUGAAUGUGUUUACCACAGAUUCAGAUUACUUAUUAUUUACUUAUUUAUUUGUAGCACUGGAAGUUGAACCCAGAUUCUUGCUCAGGAGUUGGUCUACCACUGAACUGCACAAGCCCAGUCCAGAUGGAAAAAACAAACUUUUUUUUUUUUUAAUUUUUUAUUUGUGGUGUUUGGAACCCACAGAUACGGAAAACCAACUCUAUUUUUCUUACAGGUAAAAUUAUGGUAAUGAUGUGCCUACAGGGUAGAACAUUUAGACUCAAUGAAAUUAUGAUUUUAAGUGAAAAAAUAGUGUUCAAAGAAUAAUUAAAUGACUGCAACUGCUCAGACACAUCACAUGGAUGAAAACCCACACAUCUGUAGUGAUGAUUAUAAAAGCAGGAGGAGAAAAGGGUGAAAAUCAAGGCCUCUGGACUCCUGGCAGGUGCCUAGGGUACCCACUGUGACCUCUGGAAGCAGGGGCUUUCCAAGGGAAGGGACUGAGCCCUUGGUUAGCAUUUGCCCUCCACAUAGCAUUUCAGUAGACUGCAGCAGCCGGUAUGGAUAAAGGAGUUUUCAUGCAGAAGAAUCCCAGCCAGAAAAUGAGGCGACUAGCCUGUCGGGCUGGGGUGCAGCUCAGUGCUAGAGCAAGAGGUCAGCAUGCAAGAGGCCCCGGGUUCCAUCCCCAGGACCCCAACCAGUAAGGGGCAGGGAGGGAGUAGGAAUCAGCCAUUUUACAGGACAGAAUAGAGCAGCCCUAGAAAAUGACACACUGUUUUAAAAAAAAUAAUAAUAACAUUUUUCCUUUUUUCAGUACUUGAAAUGGAACCCGGGGCCUCACACAUGUUGACAAAUGCUCCACCACUGAGCCACAUCCUCAGCCCUUUUUAUUUGGUUUUUAGACAGGGUCUCGCUAAGUUGCCCAAGCCGGCCCGGAACUUGCCAUCCUCCUGCCUCUGCCUCUGCCUCCUCCGUCCCUGGGAUCCCAGGCGUACCGUAGCCCUGGGCUCCACUGUUCUCUGGAACUCAAGACAUUCCUAACUGAUACCCCGUUUCAUCCCCAGCUCCCCUGCAGCUGGGCCUCACCAAUCCUGGCUGCUCCCUUCAGUUCCGUCCAUCCUGGGCUGCCUGUUUUUUCUGUUUUUGUUUUUAACUUUUGCAGUGCUGGGGAUGGGGACCCACACAUGUGAGGCAAGCAGGCUACCUCUGAGCUGCGUCCCCAGCAUCAUCGUGAUCUACUUAAUUUCUCCAGUGCAUUCAAACCCUGCUGACUUAGGACCUUUGCUCAGGCUGUACCCUUUAUGUGUGUGUGUGUGUCUGUCUGUGUGUCUCUCUCUCUCCUUCCCCCCUCCCCACCCUUUCUCUGGGACUGGGGAUUGAAUCCAGGGGCCCUUUUAUUUUUAAUUUUAAUAAGCUGGUGGGCUUAUAUUUUUAAUUUUGAGACAGAGUUUAACUAAAUUGCCCAGGACCUUGCUAAGUUUCUAAGGCUGGCCUCAAACUUGCAGUCCUCCUGCCUCAGCCUCCAGAGACCCUGGGAUUACAGGUGUGUGCCACAGCACUCUCAUGGUAGCAGAAUGAUGGCCCUGGUAAGGCCACAUCCUGACCCACUGAGCCUGUGGGGACCCUCCUUACAAUAGAAGCCUAAGGGGCUUUGCUGGUGGGCUUAUAUUCAGGACCUAGAGAUGAGAGACCAACCUACAUCAUCCACAUGGGCCCAGUGCCCUUAGGAAGGUCCUUAAAAGAUGGAAGAGGGGGCUGGGGCGGUGGCUCAGAGGCAGAGCGCUCGCCCAGCACGCGUGAGGCCCUGGGUUCCAUCCUCAGCACCACAUAAGGUUAAUAAAUAAAGGGGUCGUGUCCACCUACAACUAAAAAAAUACCUAUUUAAGAAAAGAAAAGGGGGGCUGGGGCUGUAGCUCGCUGGUAGAGCGCUUGCCUCGCAUGCACGGUCCUGGGUUCAGUCCCCCCCCAAAAAAAGAAAACAAAAAGAUGGAAGAGGGAGGCGGAAGGACCAGAGAGGGACGUGGCCGUGGAAGCUGGGGUCGCUGGCAGGGACCACAGGACAAGGGACCUGGGGGCUCUGGGACCUGAGGACAGCCCAAAGUCCCCAGAGGGAGGCAGCCCUGCGGGCACCUCCAGCCCAGUGGGACAGCCUUCCAGGCCUGGGGUCAUAAGUGUCCCCAGCCUCACAGUCGGGGACUUUGCCCUGGCAGCUGCGGCGCCUCCCCAGCGCACUUGGCCUCUCUUUAUCUGAGUCUGCUCAUCUGGAAAAUGGAGACGGUGACGUGCCAGGGUCUGGGAUUUCACCUUGGUGUGCUGAGGAGUGAGCCUGAAGUGCCAUGGACGUUCCAACGCUAGCCACGGCCAGCACAAGGGACAAGCGUUGGCGUCUGUUUCCCAGGCCCCCAGAGUCCCCCGGGUCCCCAAGGCAAUGCAGAGACCAGGUGGGUGGCGCCCACACUCUGGUCCCUGUUGCUCUGAGGGGCUCCUGAGCUGGGGGAUGGGCCGCCUGGUUACUGCCUGCACUCCCCUUGUCCUUUUGCAGCAGCCACCAGAGGGCACUUGUGAGCACCAGAAUCCGUUCCCUUCCUCCUCUGCCUGCAGCCCUGGGUGGUUCCACCUCCCUCAGGGUCCCCUCUGCAGCUCACUGGCCUUGGGAGAACUGCCCCCUCUCCUUGCUGCCUCCUCUCCUCCCUCUCUCCCCUGCUUCCCUCUGCUCCAACUAUACUAUACAGGCUCCCUGCUCCCUGCUUUGUUCUGCCCCAGGGCCUUUGCAUGGGCUGCACCCUCUGCCUGGAGUGCUGUUCCCACAGACAACCAUGUGCCUCCCUGUGUCACCUCUCUAGGUCUCUGCUCAGAUAUCUUUAGAUGUAUAUUUAAUUUUUUUGGGGGGAUUUUUAACAUUUAUUUCUUAGUUUUCGGCGGACACAACAUCUUUGUUUGUAUGUGGUGCUGAGGAUUCGAACCCAGGCCACACGCAUGCCAGGCGAGCGCGCUACUGCUUGAGCCACAUCCCCAGCCCCUCUUUAGAUGUAUAAAUGUCUACUGCCAUUUGCCUGACACCCAGGGGAAGACUUCUUUGGUCAGAGCGUGGCCCAGACUCCUAUGGGUCCUGUGUCUGACUCGCCAGCCGCAGGGUUCCGUUCCUUCCUUGUAGAGUCCCGUUUAUACAAGGAUCUUGCCAAGUCAUCUGGGCGCAGUGGCUCACACCUGUCUGUUGAGAGCCACAGCCGAGUUGGGAUGGCGCCUGGCCUUUUGCCCGCAUGUUAACGCCUGAAGCAAUAAAUACAUUAAAACUCAUUGAAACAUAUGUGGAAAAUGUGCAUUUGGACAGAAUUGAUGUAAGUUUGCCUUUAUUAUUUAUUGUGCUACCAACAAAAAAUAUUCCUACAGGAGUAUUUUGCAAGAAGGCCCAUUAUUGUGGAUACAUUUAUCUUAUUCUCCUAACACUAUUCUUACUAGGUAUCCUGAGGCUGUAGGACAAUUAAUACUCAAAGGAAUAAAAGCAGCAAAGGGAGUGUUUGGAAUUUCUCCCAAUAAAAUUAUUACUCCAUAUACUAUGAAUCAAAUUGAUGAGUUAGCUAAUGAGUUAAAUACUUGGGCAAUAAUCACGUGCAAAUCUAAUGUUUCAUUUGAUAACCACUUACCAUCUAAUCCUUUGUUGUCUUUUUGGUCUAAGCAUCCUGUAGUUUUUCCAAAGAUGACAAGAAAAACCCCUCUCAUGAAUGCUCCAAAUAUAUUCACUGAUGGGUCAAAUAAUGGUACAGCAGCAGUAGUUACCCCUGAUCAAACUUUUACAUUUUUAGUAUCCAAACAAUCAACUCAAAAGGUAGAGCUUAAUGCAGUUUUACAAGCUUUUGUGAUGUUUCAAGAUUCUGUAUUUAAUUUAUUUUCUGAUAGUCAGUAUGUAGUUAAUGCUAUNUCACACACUUGCCAGAAUUUGGAAAAUUAAAAUAUUUGCAUGUUACAGUUGAUAAUCCUUCCGGAUUUUUGAUGGGCUCCCUUUAUGCCAGAGAAAAAAAUAAAGAUAUUUUAGCUCAUUGCUUACAAAAUUUUGCCACUGUGGGCGUUCCAAAACAGUUAAAAACAGAUAAUGGCCCUGGCUAUAUUUCUACCUCUUUUAAGCAAUUUUGCUCAUCAUUUUGCUUUACUCAUAUAACAGGAAUCCCAUACAAUCCACAGGGACAAGGCAUAGUUGAAAGAGCUCAUCAUAACUAUUAAAAUGUACUUAUUAAAGCAAAAAGAGGGAAUUGGGAAGGGGUAUACAUCCCCCAAAGAUAAACUUAAAAUAACCCUUUUUACUCUAAACUUUUUAAAUUUGGAUUCAUCAGGACUUAGUGCUGCGGAAAGGCACAUGUGUCCAAAAAAUGUACAUAAGCCCAAGGUACUUUGGAAGGAUAUUCUAACAGGACAAUGGAAAGGUCCUGACCCAGUGAUUGUCUGGAGUCAGGGGUCUGUUUGUGUGUUUCCACAGGGAGAACAGCAGCCGAUUUGGAUUCCAGAGAGACUAACUAAAGCGAUUUCUACAGAACAAAAAGAAGAUGAUUUGGCUCAAAUCCAUAACAGCUGAUGUCCAGAACUCUAGUUUGGCUAUCUUUACAUCUGCGACAGUGUUUCUCCCACACCUGGAGGCUAAUGAAUAAUGAACACCAUUAAGGCCUAUUUCAAAUGUAAAAAACUUUGGGGCUUGCUUGCGGGAAUACCUUCAGACCCAUUUGUGAGUUACAGGAAGAAGGAUGGGAUAUCAAAAGAAGAGUCAAACCCAGGUGGUAACCAGGAUGCUUUUUUCAAUAUCUAUUUUAUUAUUGCCCUCUCCCAUAUCAUGAAGUUCUAUUUUGUUUUUUUGAGCUCAUACAGACCUAGGUUAAUGUUUUUCUGAUCGGUUCUAUUUUUUGACUGUGGAGUUUUUAAACAUUGCAAUGGGGAUUUCACCUGUGAAAAGCUACAAGGCCUUUACUAUUAUGUUAGGUGUUGUAUGUAUUAUAUUAUGUGUGCACACUUGUGUUUUAUGUUGUAUGUCUUUAUGUGCGUAUGUCCAUAUAUAUGAGGAGUGCUCAUAAAAAAAUGGAUCCAAUUUUUUUUUUAUUAUUCACGUGAUUUAAAUGGUUUAAUUUAAAUUGGGUAAACAGCUGUUGAGGAUUGUUUUAAAAUGUGAACAAAAAAGGAGGUUAACAGAUCUGUUUGUUUACUUUCACCUUUCCUGUUCAUUAUAUCUAAUUCUAUUCAGGAUACUAAAUUGUUUAGAAAAUUGCUUUUUUUUAGUGCCUGCUGGAAUGUUACAUAAUUUUUUUUAGCCAUUAUUGCCAGAAUUCCUAUCUUCAUCCCAGUGUCAGUGAAGACAAAACCAAACUACAGCUUCUGCGAUAGCUAUCACAGUAAACUGUGUAAACUGAUGCAUCAAUGAAUAAUGUAAAUCAACAAGUAAUGCUUAAUCAAGGAGUCGAUUUGCUUUGGGAGGAAAUGGACAUAUUGAUGGAUUCCUCUGCUUUGAACUGCUUGCAGAACUUGCCUGGACUAUGUGUCACUUAUACGCAUUGUGAACUAUCUGUUAGUGCAGCGAAUUGUGGUAGUGCUGGGGUAUUUUUGCUGAUGGUGUCAUCGGUGGUACAAUUUUUCCAAAAAGAGCCAUCAAUUGGCUUGGUGUCGUGGCAUUUUGUAUCCUCCUCCCUUCUGCUUGUGAUGGUCGUCGUUCAGCUAAAAUUUGGGGCCCAACAGAGGUGAGGCAAAGAACCUCACCUCCCCGCUGGUACAAAGGCCUAUCCACAGGUGUGGCUAUAUGCUGGACCGGUAGUCAGUGACGGGUAAGAUCCAAUUGCAAUGGUACCAACCUAAGACAGGAGGCUGACGCCUUGAGGUCAGCUCAUCCGAUGAUGGGUAAGGACCAUAUGUAGUACUGGACAACCUAAGGCAGGCACGGCCCCUAAGUCACAUGCUUGUUUAAUUAAACAGAAGGGGGGAGAUGUUGAGAGCCACAGCCGAGUCGGGAUGGCCCCUGGCAUUUUGCCAGAAGGAGUGGUUGAGAGGUGAUGCCAGGGAGCCAUUAAGAUGAUGAUAAUUAAGUUAAGCUGUGUAUAAUUUCUGUGACUGGAUGAUGCUGGAUUGAAACAGGCUGUGGAUUCAGUUGUCUAUGGACCCUGCUGCCUCGGGCACCCGCUACUUUUGAGUUCUCAUUGACCUCUCGCGGAGCCCCGUGGAGAGAGUUCCCUAGGAGUGCGGGGAGUGUGCGUGGAGUGGAGUUCGGGCAAUAAAGGAGUUCCUGUUUGAACCUACAAGUGCAUUCUGGCG
rnacentral:lncRNA from 1 species